rnacentral:rRNA from 1 species
CUAGCGUUGUUCGGAAUUACUGGGCGUAAAGCGUAUGCAGGCGGAUCAUUAAGUCGGGGGUGAAAUCCCGAGGCUCAACCUCGGAACUGCCUUCGAUACUGAUGAUCUUGAGUCCGGGAGAGGUGAGUGGAACUGCGAGUGUAGAGGUGAAAUUCGUAGAUAUUCGCAAGAACACCAGUGGCGAAGGCGGCUCACUGGCCCGGUACUGACGCUGAGGCACGAAAGCGUGGGGAGCAAACAGG